AGGGCGGGACACGUGGUAUCCUGUCUGAAUAUGGGGGGACCAUCCUCCAAGGCUAAAUACUCCUGACUGACCGAUAGUGAACCAGUACCGUGAGGGAAAGGCGAAAAGAACCCCGGCGAGGGGAGUGAAAAAGAACCUGAAACCGUGUACGUACAAGCAGUGGGAGCACGCUUAGGCGUGUGACUGCGUACCUUUUGUAUAAUGGGUCAGCGACUUAUAUUCUGUAGCAAGGUUAACCGAAUAGGGGAGCCGAAGGGAAACCGAGUCUUAACUGGGCGUUAAGUUGCAGGGUAUAGACCCGAAACCCGGUGAUCUAGCCAUGGGCAGGUUGAAGGUUGGGUAACACUAACUGGAGGACCGAACCGACUAAUGUUGAAAAAUUAGCGGAUGACUUGUGGCUGGGGGUGAAAGGCCAAUCAAACCGGGAGAUAGCUGGUUCUCCCCGAAAGCUAUUUAGGUAGCGCCUCGUGAAUUCAUCUCCGGGGGUAGAGCACUGUUUCGGCAAGGGGGUCAUCCCGACUUACCAACCCGAUGCAAACUGCGAAUACCGGAGAAUGUUAUCACGGGAGACACACGGCGGGUGCUAACGUCCGUCGUGAAGAGGGAAACAACCCAGACCGCCAGCUAAGGUCCCAAAGUCAUGGUUAAGUGGGAAACGAUGUGGGAAGGCCCAGACAGCCAGGAUGUUGGCUUAGAAGCAGCCAUCAUUUAAAGAAAGCGUAAUAGCUCACUGGUCGAGUCGGCCUGCGCGGAAGAUGUAACGGGGCUAAACCAUGCACCGAAGCUGCGGCAGCGACACUAUGUGUUGUUGGGUAGGGGAG
rnacentral:rRNA from 1 species